GACACUAUGUGUUGUUGGGUAGGGGAGCGUUCUGUAAGCCUGUGAAGGUGUGUCGUGAGGCAUGCUGGAGGUAUCAGAAGUGCGAAUGCUGACAUAAGUAACGAUAAAGCGGGUGAAAAGCCCGCUCGCCGGAAGACCAAGGGUUCCUGUCCAACGUUAAUCGGGGCAGGGUGAGUCGACCCCUAAGGCGAGGCCGAAAGGCGUAGUCGAUGGGAAACGGGUUAAUAUUCCCGUACUUGGUGUUACUGCGAAGGGGGGACGGAGAAGGCUAUGUUGGCCGGGCGACGGUUGUCCCGGUUUAAGCGUGUAGGUGUGUGUUCCAGGUAAAUCCGGUUCACUUUAACACUGAGGCGUGACGACGAGGCACUACGGUGCUGAAGCAACAAAUGCCCUGCUUCCAGGAAAAGCCUCUAAGCAUCAGGUAACAUCAAAUCGUACCCCAAACCGACACAGGUGGUCAGGUAGAGAAUACCAAGGCGCUUGAGAGAACUCGGGUGAAGGAACUAGGCAAAAUGGUGCCGUAACUUCGGGAGAAGGCACGCUGACACGUAGGUGAAGUGAUUUACUCAUGGAGCUGAAGUCAGUCGAAGAUACCAGCUGGCUGCAACUGUUUAUUAAAAACACAGCACUGUGCAAACACGAAAGUGGACGUAUACGGUGUGACGCCUGCCCGGUGCCGGAAGGUUAAUUGAUGGGGUCAGCGCAAGCGAAGCUCCUGAUCGAAGCCCCGGUAAACGGCGGCCGUAACUAUAACGGUCCUAAGGUAGCGAAAUUCCUUGUCGGGUAAGUUCCGACCUGCACGAAUGGCGUAAUGAUGGCCAGGCUGUCUCCACCCGAGACUCAGUGAAAUUGAACUCGCUGUGAAGAUGCAGUGUACCCGCGGCAAGACGGAAAGACCCCGUGAACCUUUACUAUAGCUUGACACUGAACAUUGAGCCUUGAUGUGUAGGAUAGGUGGGAGGCUUUGAAGUGUGGACGCCAGUCUGCAUGGAGCCGACCUUGAAAUACCACCCUUUAAUGUUUGAUGUUCUAACGUGGACCCGUGAUCCGGGUUGCGGACAGUGUCUGGUGGGUAGUUUGACUGGGGCGGUCUCCUCCUAAAGAGUAACGGAGGAGCACGAAGGUUGGCUAAUCCUGGUCGGACAUCAGGAGGUUAGUGCAAUGGCAUAAGCCAGCUUGACUGCGAGCGUGACGGCGCG
rnacentral:rRNA from 1 species